rnacentral:rRNA from 1 species
GUGAGUGGCGAGCGUUAUCCGGAAUUAUUGGGCGUAAAGCGUCUGUAGGGGGACAUGCAAGUGAGUUGUAAAAGGCCUUGGCUCAACCAAGGUAGAGCAGCUCAUACUACAUGUCUUGAAGUAAGUAGGGGCAAAUGGAAUUCCCAGUGUAGGGGUUAUAUCCGUAGAUACUGGGAGGAACACCAAUAGCGAAGGCAAUUUGCUGGGCUUAUCUUGACCCUGAGAGACGAAAGCGUGGGUAGCGAACCGGGAUUAGAUACCCGGGUAGUCCACGCCGUAAACGCUGGAUACUAGGCGUAUAAGGCAUCGACCCCCUUAUGUGCCGAAGCUAACGCAUUAAGUAUCCCGCUGGGGAGUACGGUCGCAAGACUA